AACGAACGCUGGCGGCAGGCUUAACACAUGCAAGUCGAGCGCCCCGCAAGGGGAGCGGCAAACGGGUGAGUAACGCGUGGGAAUCUACCCAUCUCUACGGAAUAACGCAUGGAAACGUGUGCUAAUACCGUAUACGUCCUUCGGGAGAAAGAUUUAUCGGAGAUGGAUGAGCCCGCGUUGGAUUAGCUAGUUGGUGGGGUAAAGGCCUACCAAGGCGACGAUCCAUAGCUGGUCUGAGAGGAUGAUCAGCCACACUGGGACUGAGACACGGCCCAGACUCCUACGGGAGGCAGCAGUGGGGAAUAUUGGACAAUGGGCGCAAGCCUGAUCCAGCCAUGCCGCGUGAGUGAUGAAGGCCCUAGGGUUGUAAGGCUCUUUCACCGGUGAAGAUAAUGACGGUAACCGGAGAAGAAGCCCCGGCUAACUUCGUGCCAGCAGCCGCCGUAAGAC
rnacentral:rRNA from 1 species